UUUUUUACAAUGUUCGUAUUAGUUCGUUUCAAAUGACUUAUUGUAGAAAAAGUUAAAAGAAUUGGGCCUGACCCAAUCUGAGGCCCAAGAAGCCUUGGCUGACAGAGUAAAAGAAGGAAAGAGGUUCACUUAGUCGAGAACCUUCUCUGCACAGACAAGACGAAGAGAGAGAAAGCAGCUGAGGCGUGAAGACGAAGCUGAAGCUCUGCGUGUUACUGUGCAAGAGGCGAUCUCCCUCCGUGAUGAAGGAAAGAGGAAGANGAUGAAGAAGAAAAGAUAGAGGAGCGUCUCAGAAUAAGGAAUACUUCAAGAAAGUCAAGCAAGAACCAUCAAGAUUGAAAGAUUGGAGUAGCGGAAGUGAACAUUCGCUCUUGAUACCAUAAAAGAAUUGGGCCUGGCCCAAUCUGAGGCCCAAGAAGCCUUGACUGACAGAGUAAAAGAAAGAAAGAGGUUCACUUAGUCGAGAACCUUCUCUGCACAGACAAGACAAAGAGAGAGAAAGCAGCUGAGGCGUGAAGGCGAAGCUGAAGCUCUGCGUGUUACUGUGCAAGAGGCGAUCUCCCUCCGUGAUGAAGGAAAGAGGAAGANGAUGAAGAAGAAAAGAUAGAGGAGCGUCUCAGAGCUUUGAGGUUUUACAAAAGAGAGAAAAGCUCCAAGAACCAAGAAUUGUUGUGGUGAUCCAGUCUUGAAGGUUUCUUGUGAAGCAGGAUUGUUUGAUUUGUAAAGUUUGAUCGUUCUGCACACAUAAGGUGUUUACUAUGUGAUCAGGAGUUGUUGCAAUCGUUGAGAGUUGAUGUUUCCCUAUGGUGUAUACAAGAAGAAGAGCGUGGUUCUUGACUUUUAGGGGGAUCUUAAAGGGUUGACUGCAACAGAGGAUUAUUCUUGCUGCUAGUCUGUUUAAUUUCUACCUAUAUUAAAUUAGUGGGUUAGAGAAGUGAUUUACAUUUUGAAGUGAAGUCGCUGUAAAGCCCUUGUUGUAAAAACUCAUUUCUUUAUAGUGCAUUGGCUUCCAUCUCGGGGUGAGUGGAAGGACACUGGAUGUAGGCAGGUUGGCCGAACCAGUAUAGAAAUUAGAGUUUGCAUUUUCUUCUCUGUAACUCUUUGCAUUUGAUCGAUUGCAUAUUAUCUGUAUUCGAAUGUGCAUAUUAUUCCAUUGCAUACAAUUUUACUUGCGAUUCAAGAAAAGUUUAAAGACUUACUGUUUUGUGAAAAGGAUUUCAAAAACAAUCAUUUUUAUACAAAACCAAUUCAACACCCCCCCCCCCCCCCCCCCAAAAAAAAAAAAAAAAAUCUCAUAGUAGUGAGCAAGUGACAGUAAAAAAUUUCCGUUAUAGUUUAUUUCCUCCAGUUACAUUCCAAUUUAUCUAUG